rnacentral:rRNA from 1 species
UACAGAGGAUGCAAGCGUUAUCCGGAAUGAUUGGGCGUAAAGCGUCUGUAGGUGGCUUUUUAAGUCCGCCGUCAAAUCCCAGGGCUCAACUCUGGACAGGCGGUGGAAACUACCAAGCUUGAGUACGGUAGGGCAGAGGGAAUUCCGGUGGAGCGGUGAAAUGCGUAGAGAUCGGAAAGAACACCAACGGCGAAAGCACUCUGCUGGGCCGACACUGACACUGAGAGACGAAAGCUAGGGAGCGAAUGG